rnacentral:lncRNA from 1 species
ACUUUCCGCCAUUGGUAUCACAUUGAGACGCUGUUUUCCAUUCUUGGACCGAGCGAUUCUGUUUGCUGCAGCCGAGCUUUGGCUGAAAGAUGGUCGUGAGCCACCAUGUGGUUGCUGGGAAUUGAACUCAGGACCUCUGGAAGAGCAAUCAGUGCUCUUGACCACUGAGCCCUCUCUCAGCCAUCUGUCCAGCCCCGCAGUCUGUACUUUUAACUGGACUUCUAGAUCUUUACGGAACAGAAUAUUUUCUGUGUCCUUCCCUGCUCUGCUCAUGCCUACCACAGGAAUAGGACUUCCUAAUAAUUUGCUGAAAGAAUUAAAGAAUAAGCCAGACCUGAGAUAGACCAGUACCUCCAGUACCUCCAGUAAAUGAAAUAGAAGAGGCCUUCUUCCUAGAGAGCCUAUCUACGUCUACGAAGCAAACAUAGAGGUAGAAGGAACGGUGACUGACAACCAGGCAAACUGUUACCAGGAUUCAGUGACCUUCGAUGAUGUGGCUGUGGAGUUCACCCCGGAUGAGUGGACUUUACUGGACCUGACUCAGAAAAAUCUAUACCGAGAGGUGAUGCUGGAGAACUACGAGAACUUGACUUCAGUAGGAUGUCAGUUCUUCAUUCCUAGUCUGACUCCCUGGCUAAAACAAGAAGAGUUAGGGGUGGCAGAAAGUGCUCUCCCUCAGC